CAUACUGGCGCAGGCAUUCAUCUCAGAAGCCGACUCCAAUAUGAGCUGCGGCGCACGAGCUUGGCUGAAUAAAGUCGGAGGAGGCGAGCGGCGUAUAAACUCUGGUGUGACGGAGGAAACACAAGCAGCAAUGGCACUUGUCAGGCCUUGUUGUGAGGUCAUACUGGGAUGGAGCACUCAGUGUCUUGCUCGGAGCACGUGAUUUUGUAGAAGCAGAUUUGUGGCUGUGUUUUCUUCCACCCCACCCCCCAUCCUCCCCCCACCCCUCAAGACCAACUUAGAAAAUGCACUUUGACUUUUCACCGAGUUCAGGGAAAGACCUUUCACUGACCAAAUGAAAGUCAGGGGAGAAGCCUUCUCCACAGCUCGUGGCAAAAGGCCAUGUCACUGCGCCCACAAAGCACAUUCUCACUUCCAAGAGCACUGAAACUCGGUUUGGCCUCCCUUAUGGCUCUCUAAUUGGAUUAGAGAGAAGAGAAGGGUCUAGUUCGUUGCUUUCCUGUCGUUUUUUUUUCUAUCUUUCUUUUUUUUUGGUCCGAGCGCUGAACAGAGCACUGGUACCGUGGUUAGGAGACAGUCCGCUCAGGGAUGAUGACAAGGGCCCUUGACCAAUCCGGAAGAGAGCAGGUGUCAUGCUGAUUUGGAAGAUAGUGGAGACUUCUCCCGGCAUCUGGCUAAUUUCCUCUCAUUAGCCUCUGUGAGUGCCCUCGCUCGUUGCAAACGGCUCCGUUUUUUCUUUCCUUUUUUUUUUUUGUCUCUCUCCCCUCCACCUCAAGGUAACCCGAUCGGCCUCCCCUUGACCUCCCCUCCGCAGAGAGCUAAUCAGGCUCACCUGUGGUGUGCCCGCGCGGACCGCAGAACGCUAGCUCAGCAACAGCUGAUCCUGUUUUAUCUCACGGGGAAACACGAGGGGCCAAGGACCCUGGUCAAAUCCAGCGUCUCUCUUCUCCCCCAACCCCCCCCCCAUCUCUGCACUCCCUGUGUGGGAGUCUGAGCCAAAUCACCUGUGUGGAAGCAGGGCGGGAUGGGGUGUGGGGUGGGGUGUGGUGUGGUGGGGUGGGGUAAGGUGGGGUGAGGUACGGGGGGAGAGUGGAUCGGUGCAGAGCCGUUCUGCCCUUGUGAACAUCAUCAAAGGCCGGGGUGGGAGCCGGGAUCAGGACUUCAGAGGAGGAAAGCAUUACUUAAUGCACUCUCUCCCGGCCUCCUUUUGUCUGCUGAUAACAGAACUGGCCCGAGAGCCAGUGGUAGCGAGCGCACUUGUGGAAGAAACACGCGCAGGUUCUUUGAGGUAAAACAUUGAAAAACAAAGGCACUGCAGCACUGUGGAGGCACUGCUUGAAAUGAAAGAGAACAAACAAAGGGCAAUAUGUCAAGCUAAGCUCAGGAACACAAACACGCCGCCUGC
ensembl:lncRNA